GUUAGAUGACCGAAGGCGAUCAGAUACCGCCCUAGUUCUAACCAUAAACGAUGCCAGCCAGCGAUCCGGCUGUGUUCCUCAAAUGACACGCCGGGCAGCUUCCGGGAAACAAAGCUUUUGGGUUCCGGGGGAAGUAUGGUUGCAAAGCUCAAACUUAAAGGAAUUGACGGAAGGGCACACAAGCGAUGGGUCCUGCGGCUCAAUUUGACUCAACACGGGAAAGCUCACCCAGUCCAAGCACACGAAGGAUUGACAGAUUAAGAGCUCUUUCUUGAUUAUGUGGGGGGUGGUGCACGGCCGUUCCUAGUUGGUGGAGUGAUUUGUCUGAUUAAUUUCGGUAACGAGCGAGAUUCUAACCUGCUAAAUAGACGUUCCGAUCCUCUACGUCGGACGCUCUUCUUAGAGGGACGAGCGGCGCUUAGCCGCACGAGACAGAGCAAUAACAGGUCUGAGAUGCCCUUAGAUGUCUGGGGCUGCACGCGCGACACACUGAAGGAAUCAACGUGUGAUACCCCUGUCCGACAGGACUGGGUAACCCGAUGAAACUCCUUCGUGAUGGGGAUAGGACGUUGAAACUGUCGUCCUUGAACGAGGAAUCCCCAGUAAGCGCGAAUCAUUAAUUCGUGCUGAUUAUGUCCCUGCCCUUUGUUCACACCGCCCGUCGCUAUUACCGAUUGAAUUAUCCAGUGAGGUCUUCGGACUGGCGCUCGGACUGGCCUCCGUGUCGGGCCGCGUGCCGGAAAGAUGACCGAACUUGAUUAUUUAGAGGAAAUAAAAGUCGUAACAAG
rnacentral:rRNA from 1 species